rnacentral:rRNA from 1 species
UACAGAGGUCUCAAGCGUUGUUCGGAUUCAUUGGGCGUAAAGGGUGCGUAGGCGGCGCGGUAAGUCGGGUGUGAAAUCUCGGAGCUUAACUCCGAAACUGCAUUCGAUACUGCCGUGCUUGAGGACUGGAGAGGAGACUGGAAUUUACGGUGUAGCGGUGAAAUGCGUAGAUAUUCGCAAGAACACCAGUGGCGAAGGCGGCUCACUGGCUCGAUACUGACGCUGAGGUGCGAAAGCGUGGGGGAGCAAACAGG